CGGAGGCGCGGGAGGACAGCCGAGGACCGCGGCCGAGGUCGCCGGGGCGGUGCGAGAGCAGAGGCCGCGCUGCGCCGGGGCCGCCGGGGCCGCCGGGCGUCCGGCCCUUCCCGACUCAAGCAGGAACCUGGAAACAAAGCUCCUGGGAGCGACCGCGGUCCGCGGUCCUGCCGUGACGGAUGGUGAAGGUGGGCACCUCCCCUGCUGGACCCACCUCUGUGCAUCACAGCCACCGGAGCGGGACCCCGUCGAACUCGCAGUCCUCCGUCCGGAGCCCCACUCGGUCUGGAGCGAGCCCCCCCCGCGGCCGUCCUAACUAGCCGCAGGCCCAUGAACCUCUCUUCGGGUAGCACUACCCCAAACAGGGCCCCUAGAGGUUCCCCUUAUCUAUCACUACCUGCUCCCAGUUGUCAACAAUAUGUAACAAAAUUUCCUCUUUCCAUCCUAUGACAAUUAGGAUGUUUCAGCUGUAACAGAAAUUGCAACCAAAAUAAUAAGAAUUUCAUUAUGGUAUAUAAAGUCUGAGCAGAUCCUGGGUUGAUUCACUAACUCAACUGAACAAGCAGUUACCUGGACCAGCUUCCUUCCAUUUAUCCACUAGGGACCGAUGGCCUCUCCUCCCCUAGGAAUCCAUAUGAGAAAACCACAGAACCAAGGGCAAUCAGGGACACGGUUAUUCUGACUCCUUAAAGAAAGGCUGAGCAGGGAGCCCAGAGGCUCAGGAGAUCGUGAAAUCCAUAUGCAACCAGUUUUUACAUUGCAUUCUCAAUGUGCCAGAGUUUGCAUUUUCCAUUCCUGCUAAGGAUUUCCUUCACUCAUGUAGUUUCCCAGUUAUUUGUUUACACAGCGAGGGAAAAUCCAAGGUCAGCAGCCUGGAAUGAGGACUUGCUGAAUGAGUAGGAAGAGGUUGGAACAGGCUUUCUGGGAAAGCAGGGUAGUUUGCUGGCAGCAGCUAUCUCCACCCAACAGUGGAAUGACUUCCAGGCCAUCUCACAUGAGGGUUGCAGGGAAGGGUCUGUGAGCCUUUGAGAGAGCCAUGGGAUGAGUAGCAGAUACUCUCGUGCAGAGGUGGGGGCUGCUCUCAGAACACAGGCAGUUAUAUCCUGAGAUCACUUCUCCAAAACUAAACCAAACAGGCCUGAGAUCAAACCCUGAGAUUAGUAACUGGAUUCUAUUCUCCAUGUAUCCUUGAAGAAAAGAACUUCUGAAUGCUGGCAAAUCUUUAAAGUACUGAUUUAACUACUGAAUUUUCUCUCUUGUUUCUAGUUUAUUGAAUAACAACCAUAAAGGAAAUGAAAACAGAACCGAAAGCAUCCAGCUUCUUUUCCAUAUUGCCUUCUUAGUUUUAAUUUUGAUUUAAAUAUUUUAGGCUUAUCAAAAAUUAUGGACAAUAAUAAUUGAAAACCCAUGUACUUAGCUUGGGAGCUAAUGAAACACAUGUAACACAAUAUUAGAAACACAAUUGUAUCUGUACACACCUCCCUAAUCUCAUUUUACCCUCCUAAAUACAGUAUAUGUAUCACUCCA